rnacentral:rRNA from 1 species
UUCCGUAGGGGGAACCUGCGGAAGGAUCAUUAGUGAAUAUAGGACGUCCAACUUAACUUGGAGUCCGAACUCUCACUUUCUAACCCUGUGCACUUGUUUGGGAUAGUAACUCUCGCAAGAGAGCGAACUCCUAUUCACUUAUAAACACAAAGUCUAUGAAUGUAUUAAAUUUUAUAACAAAAUAAAACUUUCAACAACGGAUCUCUUGGCUCUCGCAUCGAUGAAGAACGCAGCGAAAUGCGAUAAGUAAUGUGAAUUGCAGAAUUCAGUGAAUCAUCGAAUCUUUGAACGCACCUUGCGCUCCAUGGUAUUCCGUGGAGCAUGCCUGUUUGAGUGUCAUGAAUACUUCAACCCUCCUCUUUCUUAAUGAUUGAAGAGGUGUUUGGUUUCUGAGCGCUGCUGGCCUUUACGGUCUAGCUCGUUCGUAAUGCAUUAGCAUCCGCAAUCGAACUUCGGAUUGACUUGGCGUAAUAGACUAUUCGCUGAGGAAUUCUAGUCUUCGGAUUAGAGCCGGGUUGGGUUAAAGGAAGCUUCUAAUCAGAAUGUCUACAUUUUAAGAUUAGAUCUCAAAUCAGGUAGGACUACCCGCUGAACUUAAGCAUAUCAAUAAGCGGAGGAAAG